AAAAAACAACCUAAUUUUCCCUCUACAGUUUGUAAUUUGUAAAAGUGCGCUGUUGAAUGACCCGUCUGCCAUUGGCUCCUCCCUCCCUGCGGUCCUUAAAAAAAUCUAUAUGCUAUCUUUACCAUCUGCAAUCUUAGGCUAUACAGUUUACUGAUGCUCUGUAUAUUACAUUGAAAAUGAAAAAACACCUCAUCGUUCUGUUUUUCUGCUUAAGUUUAGUGCUCCCAGUACAGAACAAAAAGACUCUAGAAUUUUUACGUACAUUUUUAUCAACUAAUGAGAAUAAAGCAAACCCUACUUUGAAUGAAACUGUUUUGGAGCAUUUAAGGAGUAACCAUGAACCGAUGAUAAACCUUACGCUUUCCAAUAAAACUCAAGGAUAUUUUGGGGAGAGAAAAAAUAACACGGAUCAUGCAGAGACACAAUGGCCACAAAACGUCUCACAAAAUUAAAACAAAACCUAUUUGCACAGCCCUGUAAUGAAAUUGUUAUUAAAGCUACUGGAAAUCAUGCUGUUCAACAAUCAACUCUGCAGGAUUUUAUAAUCUUAAGAUAAAGCUAAAGACAUGCAAUUAUGACCCAUAUAUAGGCUAUAUCAGGUUAAAGUACUUAAUUUAAGUCAAAUUAUUAAAAUUUUUUCCUGUUUUUCACUAAAGAUAUAUUAAUAUUCCUUAAAUUGUAUUUGAAGCAAAAUGGCAUAUCCAGUUUUAAGAGUAUAAAUGUUUAGGAUUAAAAUGACCACAUUACGCAAUAAUGAUAAUGUUUUAUUAUGUAUUACACUGAAAUUUAACUAUUGGGGAAAUUAUGUGAUAUUCCAGCAAGAACAUCUUUUCAGUCUUUAAAUGUUUAUAAUGUAAAUUAACAAAAUCUAAGUCGAUAUGUUCAUUGAUUGAUGACUUUGUCUGUACACAUUUCAAUUUGGGGGCAAAGCGAAGAGUUGAAACAAUGCCAGUGGAAACAAUCAAAGCUUAAGCAAAGUAUUUAAUAUCACAGAAGUCUACCAGGUGUUUAAAUGAAGCAUCAUCUCAUCGUCUCUUCAAUUUGUGAGGCUUAAUAUGUUGGCCUCCAGCAGUGUAAAUUUGCCUGAGAAAUCUGUAGGUCAUGCAUCUUUAGUUUAAUGCAAGAUCAUGUUUAUUCUUUGAUUUUUUUAUGUCUUACUUAUGUCUUAAAGUUAUUUUGCUUUAAUAUAUGUACAGUCUUUGUGCCUAAAGGUUAAAAAUUGAAUUGUGGCAUCAUAAAAAUCAGUAAGGUUUCUGGUGAACUACUAAAAUGUUUAAAUCUUGACUAAACUGUGCUUUUUUUGUGAACAGCCUAACCAUGUGAGUCUUUAAGAGUAUAAAUUAGUUUGCGUUGUCUGAAGGGAACAUGUUACUAUGUUACCUCUGUGGCUAUCGGCUAAAACCAAGAUGGCCUGUUCCAGAAAAUACUUAUUCAUAUAAAUGGCCUCCCUUUGGGGGAAAAGGAUAAACAAAACAUUUCAACACUUUGAGGAGCUUGCCAAGAUUAACACACAAAUGCAAACUGCACUGGACUUUGAUACAAAACAAAUUUACUAAUGUCCUAUUUAAACCUUACUUAUUAUUCAGUGUAUAAUUUUUUAUUUUGUCCUCCAAUUAUUCUGUUAUCUCCCCGUGUCAGCACAGAUAGCAAUGUUAUAUAAAAAGAUUAGCAUAUAUUAUUUUGAAUAUGUAAGAAAAUACAACUUCUGAAUGUGCAUUGUUUUACCUUGUGGUAAAAAAAACAUGUUUGUAUAAAGAUACCCUUUUUAAAGGUUAUGGGAUGCCAAAUUGUUUUUCAUUAGCAUUUUGUCACCAGCAGAGCUGAGAGAAAAGAGCCGACCUGUCACCAUCAGACAUUUUAUAAAAAACAUAAGAGUUUGAAUUUUUUGACUAAAUAAAAGCUUAUUUUAUAAAUGGAUUCUACCUUUAAUUCUACAGUAUAUAAUGAUCAAAUGCAUUAAAUCUUCCUUUACCACAGUUAAGACCCCACUAUUCACACUUUUUCCCCUCCCUGCUUUAGGGUCCAUAGUCUCUUUAUAGAUUUCUUUAUACACACAAAGUCUUAGUAUUUUCAGUAAAAAAUUAAAAAGGAGUCAUCAAUAACUAGCUUCAAUCAGUAAAACAUACAGUAAGAGAAAGUCUGAGCAUUAUAUACUGUCAAAUUGAUCUGAUCAAAUCAUGACAACAUGUGCUUUUACAUGCAACUAAUUAAAAUAAGGUUAAGCUAUUUUACCUUUCUUGCAUAGAUUACAGUAACCCAUCACUAGUCAAGACUUAAAAUAAUAAUAAAAAAUAGUUAAAAAAAAUACUCUUAAACAUAUUAAAUUGUACAAACAAAGUUAUAGUGCACUGCAUCUGUAGAUCAUUGUGCAAAACCAUUUUUGCAUGUAAUGCAUAAUAAAAUAUUUAUAAUAAUGUGUAGAGUAAAAGUAAAAAACAACUUUUUCAUCUGAAUUAAAUAUCUAUUUUUUACUUUUUUCCAAAUUCUUUUAUAUGGAAAAAAUAUUUAUAACAAACAACCACAUUUUUUCUAUACAGUAUGAUUGUAAGAGUGUGCUGUUUAAAGACUUGUCAGUCUGUCAUUGGCUUUUCCCUCUCUAUUGACAUUACAAGUCUCUGCCUCUUCAAAUCUGUAAUCUCAGACACACAGUUUUCAGCUCACUGCUUUGUACAUUAUUGAAAAUGCAAAAACACCUGAUCAUUUUUGUUUUCUCUAUCUGUUUGGUGCUCUCAACAGCACAGAUGAACUCUGAAAUAUUUUUAUCUACUGAUGGGGAUAAUCCAAAUCCAACUUCUGCUACGAAUCAAAUAAACUCAAAUAUUUCGGGAUCUUUGAAUAUGACUAACCAUGAACAGACGAUCAACCAAACAUUUAUCAAUAAAACAUUUUUGGAAAGGAAAAAUGAGACGGAUCACACAGAGACAGAAUUGCCACCAAUUAAAAACACUCAAGGGUUUGCAUAGCCCUAACGAAAAAUCACUAAAAUGUUAAAGGAAGAUUGAUGCAGCAGAAAAACAAGCUGUUCAACAAUAAUCACAUGUAUACCACAUAAAAGAGGACAUCCACUUGUUGACCCAUAUAUCAGGUUAAAGUACUUGAUUUGGGGUGAAAUACUAAUAAUCUGUCCUAUUUACUAGUAAAAAAAAUCUGUAAACAUUGUAGGUAAAUGUAAGUAUUUGAGAAGCAAAAAGACGCAAACUAGUUAAAAAAAUAGUAAUGCUUAGGAUUAAAAUAAGAACUUGAGAAAAAUAAAUUGGUAGGAAAAUUAAGCUUUUAAAUAAAAUUCUAAUGAAAAAAGUUUAUUUCAUUGUCAUUACCCCCAUUAGUCUAAUUAAUUUAAUUAUUCAAUAAUUACAAUCUAAAUCAACGGGUAAAUUUGUGCAUAUUUUACCACCAUGGGUUAAAACAAGCCAGCAUUUCUUCUGAGUGUAUAUACCAAAAACCAAGAGUUUAUGAAUGGUGUAACAGUAAAACCACAAGGUUAUAAUUCAUAUUUCAUUUCACAUUUUGGCGUAUUUCUUUGUAGGGUUUAUUUGUGGUUAUCUGAAAUAAAUGAAUUAAUGUGUUGACAAAACAUUUAAAAUGAUAGGAAAACAGGAUUUGCAUUCUGAAUGGCCUGUAUGGUCAUGGUUAAGAUGGGAUAACCAAACCAAUCCAGCAAAUACAUUUCAGGGAUUAUUUAAAUAUACCCCUAAUCUAAUUUGACAGAAAACAGAGGAGACUGUAUACCUCCACAUAUCCAAACAGAAAUUAAUGAAUAUAGAAAAUAUAAAACCCUUCUUAAUUUGAGAAAAUGUUUUAAAUACAUUCAAGAUAAAAUCAAAUUAAAAUCCUUUUGCUUUAGUAACGUUAUCAAUCACUACAUGCCUGAAAUAUGAUGACAGAUCUUUUUCCAUUUUUUAUAUUUUUAUAUCAAACUGAGAUUUAAGCAUUUUUGUUUACAAUAAAUCUUGUGAGAAAUUAGUCUCUGGACAUGUUGUUUAACUGCUGUGAGAACUGUAAAAAGUACUGGACCACCUGCUGGCCCUUUGGGUCUGGCCAGAAUCUGGCACACAGAGAGAGAGAGAGAGAGAGAGAGAGAGAAUAAAGGGAGAUUGUCAGGGGAGAAAAUGGUCCUGGAGGGUCCUGGAGGAUGUACUGACACAUUCCCAGCCAGAUCCCAACAUCUCCUCUCAGCAGCAUAUAAUAAGCUUAACUACACACCUUGCUUUGCCUAUGUCAGUACAAAGGGGUCAAUCGCUUGGAUUAUCACACUCGACUUUGACAUCACAAUCCUCUGCAACUCUCCAUGUUUUUCGGCUCUAUUUUGAGAACAAUGUGUACCUUAGCCUCUUUGGACUCUUUGGAAAUGAUUUUUAUUUGUAUACUGCUAUUGUAGAUAAAUUGAUAAAUGAAACAUUGGUCAUAUGCUUAGACAGUCAAUUCAAAUAUGGAUUAUAAUCUAUUUCAUCUUUAAAAGUGUGUUAAGGCUAAAGGGUUUAAGGGUUGGUGGUAGCUUUCGGCUCUGGGAACAAGGUUUUAUUCUUACCAUUUCAAACAUAGUUCAAUGCCACGAGCUAACAACAAGGUUGCAGAUGAUGGAACAUCAGCACGACCACUACAAGAGGAGAAAGCAAUGGUGGAUUCCCUCAUCAAGCAGGUAAAAAGCUGA